CCCUUAGAUGUUCUGGGCCGCACGCGCGCUACACUGAUGCGUUCAUCGAGUUUAUCACCUUGAUCGAUAGGUCUGGGUAAUCUUUUGAAUACGCAUCGUGCUAGGGAUAGAUUAUUGCAAUUAUUAAUCUUGAACGAGGAAUUCCUAGUAAACGCAAGUCAUCAGCUUGCAUUGAUUACGUCCCUGCCCUUUGUACACACCGCCCGUCGCACCUACCGAUUGAAUGACUCGGUGAAACAUUGGGACUUUUUUGUUGUGGGUGCUUUAUUGUGCCUAUGAGAGAAGGAACUUUAGUGAACCUAUUCAUUUAGAGGAAGGUGAAGUCGUAACA
rnacentral:rRNA from 1 species